rnacentral:tRNA from 1 species
GGAGGGAUACCCAAGUGGCUGAAGGGGCUCCCCUGCUAAGGGAGUAGCAUGUGAUGAGCGUGGCUCGGGUUCAAAUCCCGAUCCCUCCGCCA